GUACACUACAACGGUAAACGUGUAAUUCAUAUAACCUUAUAAGUUAUAAGGUAUCCGGUAUUCAGGUAUCUAUUCUAUAUAUAACACACAUUGUUACGAUUGAAUUUGCAGAAUUACUCCGCAGAGUAAAACGCCUUUUAGUUUUUUUUUCUCGACACGCGAUCGAACUUAACGACGAGUGGGUGGAUAUUAUAUUAUUAUAUUAUACAUAUAUUUUUUUUCAAUUAUAAUAUUGAGCUUCUAGCGGAGAAAGUGAUUAUUUGACACGUACCAUAUACACUGCGCUGUAUUACGGAGAUAUUAUGCACAUUACAGAUAGAUGAGCGUGCGAUAAAUGAUUUAAAUUUAUAUUUUGCCCAAAAACGGCCUCAGGGCUGGUAGAUACAUAUUGCAAAACCGAACCGGUCGUUUUUUUGCUUCCUAGUUGAAAGCUAAGUUAAAAUGUAGGACGUUUAAACGUUUGUCGAAUUCUCAGAAUCAGCUACCUAUAAAGAUACAGAUUACAAUAUCAACUCAUACACACUAUGCUAUGUCCUAAUGGAUUCGUUAACAUCUUGAAAUUGACUUGGCAUAUCAACGAAGCACCCGAGAGUUAAUAUAAUGGCGUAAUGCACAUGACCAACAAUAAAUUAAUAUUAGCGUCUUCUCCUCGUCACGCUGCAAUUACAGAGCGAGUGGAUUAAACAACAGCAUACAAACAUGACACGCGAGUGAUACUUAAUUUGCAUAGCAAUAUUGAUUUCGUGACGGCUGAAUUUUCACAGCAAUAUGACGUUAAACUGGAACUAAAACGAAUCUAAGCUAUAUAUUAUAUAACAGUCAUCUUGGGUGUACAUCCUGCAAGUGAUUAUAUAGAGUAGUAUAGUAUUAUAUAUAUAUAUAGAAAUAAG